UACGAAGGGGGCUAGCGUUGUUCGGAAUUACUGGGCGUAAAGGGCUCGUAGGCGGCCAACUAAGUCAGACGUGAAAUCCCCAGGCUUAACCUGGGAACUGCGUCGGAUACUGGAUGGCUUGAAUUCGGGAGAGGGAUGCAGAAUUCCAGGUGUAGCGGUGAAAUGCGUAGAUAUCUGGAGGAAUACCGGUGGCGAAGGCGGCAUCCUGGACCGACAUUGACGCUGAAUGGCGAAAGCUAGGGGAGCAAACGGG
rnacentral:rRNA from 1 species